AACAGUGGAACCAGAUGGCCUGGGCCACUCCUGACAGUGUGAGUUUGUGAUUGUUUCUGUGCAAUGAGUUUAGGAGGACUGAAGAAGAGUUUAAUUUCAAAAUUGGCUCAGGGAAUCAAGGAAAGCUUACAGAAAGAAGAAGUCAUUGUGUCGUCUUUAAUUGGUCUGUUAUGAAAGAAGGAAUGCUAUUCUCCUUCAAUGAAACAAGGCUUAAAUCAACACCGCCCUUCCAAGCAAUUAUGGGAGUUAGCGCAAACUUGCCAAGCAAAAGCACAUAAAUCAAUUGAAAAAAGAGCUAAAGUGGUCUGAGGCCAGCACAAUAAUGAACUUUGCCCAGAGAAGAGUCCAACAGUAAGACAGCAUCCUCCUUGGCCUGCCCGCAUGUUCGUCAGCUGUUCAGCACAAUGUCAACAUAAGUGAGCAAAGCUUUGGAUGAAAGAAACUAGAAAUACAAUGUCUCCCAUUUUUUCUGCUUGAGCCUAUGGAGCAGAGUGAAGAGACACUCCCUACAGGGCAAGUUCAUCUAACUAUGUGCUUAGAAGCUCCAGAGCAGAACUCCCUCUCACCAGGAGAUCACCUCGAGAGACAACAGUCAAUGUACAACCUGAAGUGCCUGCUACAAAACUGUCUCCCACCAGGAGAGUUUUGGCCACGUUUACAACCUAGUUCUGCCCAUGAAGGCACCAGCUGUCACCAGCUCAACCACGCAGUAGAUUAGGCACUGCAGUGAGUUACAUGACCCCACCUGCAUUUCCCUCCCCUGUGAGCCA
rnacentral:lncRNA from 1 species